UACGUAGGGUGCAAGCGUUAUCCGGAAUUAUUGGGCGUAAAGAGCUCGUAGGCGGUUUGUCGCGUCUGCUGUGAAAACCCGGGCUCAACCCCGGGCCUGCAUUCGAUACGGGCAGACUAGAGUUCGGUAGGGGAGUCUGGAAUUCCUGGUGUAGCGGUGAAAUGCGCAGAUAUCAGGAGGAACACCGGUGGCGAAGGCGGGUCUCUGGGCCGAUACUGACGCUGAGGAGCGAAAGCGUGGGGAGCAAACAGG
rnacentral:rRNA from 1 species